UACGUAGGGGGCAAGCGUUGUUCGGAUUCAUUGGGCGUAAAGGGUGCGUAGGCGGCGCGGUAAGUCGGGUGUGAAAUCUCGGAGCUUAACUCCGAAACUGCAUUCGAUACUGCCGUGCUUGAGGACUGGAGAGGAGACUGGAAUUUACGGUGUAGCGGUGAAAUGCGUAGAUAUCGUAAGGAAGACCAGUGGCGAAGGCGGGUCUCUGGACAGUUCCUGACGCUGAGGCACGAAGGUCAGGGAGCAACGGG
rnacentral:rRNA from 1 species